rnacentral:rRNA from 1 species
UACGGAGGGUGCAAGCGUUUAUCCGGAUUCACUGGGUUUAAAGGGUGCGUAGGUGGGUUGAUAAGUCAGUGGUGAAAUCCCCGAGCUUAACUUGGGAACUGCCAUUGAUACUAUUGAUCUUGAAUACCGUGGAGGUCAGCGGAAUAUGUCAUGUAGCGGUGAAAAUGCUUAGAUAUGACAUAGAACACCAAUUGCGAAGGCAGCUGGCUACGCGAAUAUUGACACUGAUGCACGAAAGCGUGGGGAUCAAACAGG